rnacentral:misc_RNA from 1 species
AAAGUCGUAACAAGGUUUCCGUAGGUGAACCUGCGGAAGGAUCAUUAAAAAUAUAGCAAACCAAGCGUUAGCGAGGUUUUGCGAUCAAUAUUAUUGUAUUUAAAACCCAACUCUUUGAAUCAAAUAUAUAUUAUGUAUCAUAAAUAAAUAAAAGAUCACUUUCAACAACGGAUCUCUUGGCUCUC